AGAUCAGGAGUUAUCGCAUUUUGAGGAGCAGUAGACGAUAUUUGAUGUUUGAUUAUAUUUGAUCAAUGGACAUUAUUUCGAGUUUUCCAUAACGAUGCGAGAUAUAUGAUAUUGACAGAGUUGUUGCUAGACGAUAUUUAAAACGUCGAGUGCCUGUGAGCGAGAGUGGCAUUACUUUAUGUAAAUCAAAAGGACUUUAUCGAUCUUUUCCCCCAAUCUAUAAAUAGGUCGAUAGAAUACUUGAUCACCUGCUUUCGUUGUGCCUGUGUAUAUUACCAAUAUAAUCCAAAAUGGGAUGCUGUUUUUCUCGUCAUGAAGACUCGGAAUGUUCAUGCUGUCAAAGGACGGUACAGGUACUUAGAAUGUUUUGUUACAAAAGCUGAGAUACACCCAUUUCGUUAAAAAGACGUUUUAAGAAAAUGUACAUGUAAUAACUUAUAUCAAUCAUCAAUUACUUACUUUGCACAUAUUCUGUGAGUUAACAAAUGAGAACGUAAGUUGAUGAAAGUUAAGUGUAAUCAAUAGUAAGUUUAAUCCUGUUUUUCUAUUGGUUUCCUUGUAUGCUUUAAGUCCCUAUGUUCAUAUCGAGAGGUAACCAGUCACAGGGGAUAUUGCCAAUUGUAAAAUUACCCAUUGCUUUCAUUAUAUUAGAUAUUUAUUUCUGAGUUAAUUUACCUUGUAACAAAAGUAAAUAUAUAUAUUUUUGUGUUGUCGUUAUCUUUUCCGUGAUUCUGUUUCCUGCUAUAAUUUUGUUUCCAUUAAUUAUCUCUACCUUCAGCUACCAUUUGGUAAAUAUACAUGUAUAAACCAUGAGAUUGUCAAGGUGAAGACUUAUUUGGUUCCGGUCUAAUAUUUCUUUUUACGAAGUUAUGUCCCUUCGACUUAGAAAAUUUCAAAGAAAUCAUAGUUUCGAUUCAUUAUCGCAGUCAUAGAUGAACAAUUUGUAUUGAAAUUUGGAAUAUAGAUACACCAUGAGAAUACACAAGUCAAGAAUGCAUAUGUGUUCAGUAGAGAAAAAACUGUAGCAGUGGUGAAUCCCUUGGGCGGGGACAUUCGUGUCACUCAGUCAUAUCUAGUUCCGCAACACGGAAGGGGACAUAGAAAUACCCGUGUCCGUGCGUCCGUCCGUUCAUCCCACUUCACUUUGUGGACGCAACUCUUCAAAAACCGUUCAACAGAUUUUGUUCAUAUUUUUGUAGUAUUGUGAGUCACCAUGUGUAAUUGAUAAUAUUACGCCGCCAUUUCGAUUUGACAAUUUUUACAGGAGUUGUGGCACUUUGUUGAAUUUGUACAUGCUACACUAUAGGAACACCUUGUGGAUGCAACUAAGAAACCGCUCGAUGGAUUUUCUUCAUAUGUUGUAGGAUUGUUGGUCACCAUUUUUAGUUGAUCAUAUUUAGCCACUAUUUUGAUUCGACAAUUGUUUACAGGAGUUAAAGGUAUUUGUUGAACUUGUACAUGCUACUCUAUAGGAAGCUUUUAUGGAUGCAACUCUUCCAAAACCGCUGAACUGAUUUUGUUCAAAUUUUGUAUGAUUGCAAGUCACCAUAUGUAGUUGAUCAUAUUGCGCCGUCAUUUUGAUUCGACAAAGUUUACAAGAGUUAUGAGAUGCUUGUGCUUCAGCUUUUUUGCGGCGGUGAUGGAUAUGGCUACGUGAAAGACAAAGAUAAUGAACAGUGAUCAAUCUCAUAACUCCUAUUAGCAAUAAAAAUGGGGUUUGGCAAACACUGUUGGAGCCCCUGCACCGUCAACAUGUUUGUCAGUAGCCUGCGUCGAUUUAAACUGACCAUACGUGUAGCAAUCUUGUUGUUUAUGGAAGUUACUUGUAAUCAUUAAUGAUACAAUACCGAUUAUUGAUUUAAUUAGUAUUAAGCUGGAUAAAUCCUCGUUUAAUACUAUAAAUAAUUUAUGAAUAGUUGAAGGCAUAUGCGGUGCACCACGAUUCAUACCAUUCAAUUCGAUGCACCGAUUACAAAUUCCGGUUUUUGGUUCGGUUUAAAUUUUACAUACACCAAAACAAGAAAUAUGACGUCCGAGUGAUGUGCAAAACAUGCGGAUGUUUAUGCAACAGGGAUUUAAAUUACUACUGUGUUGAGAUUGAGCAUUUUCUCAGAUGCCAACAAAAUAUGGUCCGUAAGAUCAUUGCAGUUUAUCUUGACAUGUCAUAUAGCAUUUCUAUUAGUUCUGGAGUGAAAUCAACACCGUAGAUGAUGACACAGAUUAAAUGUUUUGACAGUUAAUAUAAGAGAGAAGUAAAUCAAUAAUAGAGAGAUUUUUAAAGAUUUUCAAUUGAUAGAAUUGUUGAAAUUUGACAUAUAAAUGAAAACAAUAUCAUAUACAUUUUAGAUUGACUGUAUGAUAAUCCAAACAUUUUGCUGUGCAUAUACUGUUAAUGUUUUCUUCUUUCUAUCAACAUUAUAAUAUGCAAUUAUGAAUAGAUAUGAUAUUUACAAAUUACGACAUAUAGUUAUACAAACCUUGAAUAAAACUAAAUAAAGUAUGCUAUUCAUUAGAAUUGUAGAUUGUUGUGCCUUAAAUCAUUAGAUAAAUUGGACCUAACAAGAUUGAAUAUACUCUGGACAUAGGAAAAUACUGGCCGCUCCAUAUCUUAAGAGCCCUUUGCUUGACAGACAUGAAACUUGGUGAAUUGAUACAUCCUAAGGAAUAAAUGACCCCUAUUGAUUUUGAGGUGACAUGGUCAAAGUCAACGGUUAAACUAGAAGAUGACCCCUAUCUAUUGAUUUUGAGGUCAAAUGUCAAUAGUUGAACUGGAUAUAGUAAUAUAUUUUCUCAUAUUAUCACCAUUGUGAGAUCGACUUUACCCAUGUGGGACAGCCAUAUGAGUUGGGUGUUUUUGUCUCACACUGCUGCGACGUCAUAUGAUUUUGACGUCAUAUAUUUUCUAUGAUUUACGUUACACGGUAAAGAUCUACGUUGCACGGUGAAAUAAAAUAUUUUGCAUUGUUAUCUUUAAAUUUUGAUGUAUAUAGCUUUCUGGUGGACAAUCUUGGGUUUUUUAGUUUAAACGUAUAGUAUAAACCAUUUUCGGGUAUGCUCUUUCUGUCUAUCUAAUUAGUUUUUGCAUCGAAGUUCAAAUGAGGAUUUUCAUACUUUAAAAUUUUCUCAGAGCUUCUAAAUUUAAACAGGAAACUGUACGUAAAAUUUGAGGAAAAAAAUCCUUCAUUAUUUACUUGUGUGGGAUAGACAAAGUAUCGUCCUAGACUGCGAAUCUUGUCCCCUCGGUGAAAUUUCCUUAUCCCCCACUCGUACUAAUGAAGGAUUGUAUUAGUCUCCUAUAUUUUAAGAAUUAUUUACUUGAUUGACACCAAACUUGGUACACUGGUACAGCAUAAGGAUUCGAUUACCCCUAUUGAUUUUAGGUCACAUGGUCAAUCCACUGUUGACAUAGCAAGAUAUCGUCUGCUCAAUAUUUUGAAUUGAUGAUACUGCUAUCAGUUAAAUAAUGUGUGUGUAUAACCCUUUUCAAUUUUGCACCAUGGGGACAUAUGUGUUUUACACACAUCUCUUGUUGUAUAACAGGGAUUAUCACUUUAUCAUAUUCAGGGAUUUUGGGAGUUGAUUUUAUCAACUCCUCGAUGCAGUCUCUCAGUUCAAGGUAACUGAGCACUUCUUUACAAACAGGUAUAUUAUUCAUCACUAGCAGGAAAUAUUUCGUAAACCGUCUAUGUAUCAUACGUUUAAAUCCAUAGUUUCUGUACAUUUACUUUUCCACCGUCGGUCAAUUGAGUAUGUACAUUGUAAAACGACCAAAAUAUAACUAAAAAUACAAUCUAAGGUCAACAGCGAUAUUUCACACUAUUGAAAAAUUCCUACACGCAGACAGAAUAUCACCGAUCAUGAUAUACAGUACAGAUAAAAAAAACCA